UUUACGUGGAUUAAGAAAAGAGUAAUAUAUUUUAUUAUUUUUUUCCCUUUUCAUUCCUAUUUUUUUUUACUUUUCUUCCCCCUUUCCCACUUCUUCCUCACGCAGACCUAACAGCCGCUGACCUUGAUCACCGCCCUCCUAAACCCGCCGCCCAGACGCCGCCGGUCUGACCCUAGCCGCUCGCCGCCGAGGUUUUUGCCCUAGCUGACCACCCUUCAUUGCGUUCCGCUGCCAUUGCUGCCCAGUCGACGUCCCAUCGUUCGUCGAGGCCUGACCGCGUACGAACCCCCCCUCCGACGGCCGUCGCUUCCAGAUGCAUCAGUAGUCGUUCCGGCAUUUUGCUACCCGCGUUAUCGUUCAGAUCUGCUCGCGCUGUUCCGGUUCGCCCUUCCAACUGUUGUCCGCCGGUGUAGCAGCUGCUAGCUGUCAGGUUCAUCCUCUUCCGCCGUAGUUCCGUGGGGUUUUCGCCAGAAGCUUGGAAUCUGGGGUAAGAUCUAAGAUUUGUGUGUUUUCUUGAAUGGGUUUGGUCACCCAUUGAGUUUUGGUCUAAUUUUAGUUAUACCAAUUAUGUUGUGAAGCUUGGAUUGAACUUUCAAGGCGUCGGGAACCACUUCCUAGUAUAAUUAGAGUUGGCUUUAGGGAAUUUUGGGUUAUGAAUAGAUUGGAAUAUCCGUGCUAAGCUUGGAACAGAUUUCUGGAUCAGCACAUCGUUUGGGUAAAUUGUUUUGUGGCAUACGAGGUAUUUUCGUAUUUGGAAUUUAGUCCUGAUUGUCGGACUUAAUUUUUGUUUAAUUUUUGAUUUAGGGUGUGAUUCAAGAAUUUUACUAAGUUAAAGGAGAGUGUGGAUUACUUUUUGUUAGAUUUAAUUUCGAGGUAAGGGUUGGGACGUGCUGGCGAAUGACAAGCGGAAUCCGUGAUCGAGCUACUGAGACCAGUUUUUAUGCUUCCGCUCAUAAGACUUAGAUUUCCUUUCAUGUUUUGCUAAAUUUUCAGUUUUGGUGUUUGAAACUUAUUAUUGAGAAUUGUUUUUCGUACUUAUUUAUUAACCUUUAUGAUUUAUGGGUACCCUAUUGUUGUUUUAACAUUUGCAUUUAAUGAAGGACUUUUGAACUCCCCUUAUCUAAUUAGCAUUUAUUUCACCAUAAAAGAGUGUCGUUUUAAGUUACAUGCAUGCAUGUUCUUUUUAGUAAUGACCUAACUUAAAUCCUAGGGAGUUGGGUCGUUACCGUUGGUAUCAGAGUCCAUGUUUUGGGUUCUGUAGACUGACUUACUAUGUAAGUCUAGAUAGUCCCUGUGGCCCAGUAACGGAUCCCUCAUCAUCGCCCGGUACGUCCUACUAAUGAAAGUUUCAAUGCAUAUAUGAGAACAAUGAUGUAGUGUUUUAAAUGCAUGAUUUCUGAGAAAGACCCAGAAAUAGCUAGUUAACGUAUGAACUCAUGACAGGACAUGGCACCUAAACCUAGAUCAAGAAAGACAGUUAGAUAAAAAGUACAAGCAGAGAGAGCUGAGAGUAACCAGACUGUUCCGGUAGCUCCAAAUCCCCCUGUGACCCAAAUUGAUGAAAAGGCAAUGGAAGCUGUGCCACUCGAGCAAUUACAACAGACCCGAGCAGGAUAGAGACAUGCAGGGCCUGUCUCUUGAGGCUAAACAUCUGAGGGAUUUCCGGAAGUAUGACCCUCUCUUCUUUGAUGGAUCGUUGGGGGACCCCACCAAAGUAGAGAUGUGGUUGUCAUCUAUUAAGACAAUAUUCGGUUUUAUAAGGUGCUCGAAAGAGCACAAGCUUCAAUGCGCAGGUUUCAUAUUGAUUGGUAACACGGAAAUCUGGAGGCGUUCAGCAGAGAAGAUGAUUGAUACUGGUGGGGAGCUUAUAACCUAGGAGCAGUUCAAGGAGCGCUUUUAUGAGAAGUAUUUUUUGGCCAACACUUGGUACAACAAGUAGGCAGAAUUCUUGAACUUAAAGUAGGGGGUUAUGCUAGUGGAGGAGUACGAACAGGAAUUUGAUAAGCUGUCUCGUUUUACUCCUAAACUAGUAGCCACCGAAGCAGCGAUGACAGAGAGAUUCAUCCAGAGCUUGAGGAGCGGACUGCGAGGUAUGGUGCAUGCCUUGAACCUAAAGACGUAUGCUGCAGUACUGCGGGCCGCUGUGAGGAUUGAUGCUGACUCCCAGAUGGGAGAGGAUUACAGGAGGUCGCUCGAGAUUGGGACCUCCAUAGGUCAGAAAAGGAAGGCUGAGCCCAGGGCUCCUGAGCAUCAACAGAGGAACCAGAUCACAGUGAAUGCUUUAUGUUAGUGGGGACAGCAGGGUUCCCAAGUUGUGACUGGCAGGGAAAAUAGGCCGAUAUGUACUACUUGUGGUAAGCGACACUGGGGACAUUGUCUAUCCGGCUCUGGGAUCUGUUUUCGAUGUGGCCAGAAGGGGAAUAUGUCAGAGAGAUGCCCGAGGAGGAACGUGCCUGAACACAGGGGCCAGCCCGUAAGCUUGUUUCAGGGGGGCCUGAGUCGUCAACAGCAGCAAAGUAGGGUGUUUUCUACCACUCGGCGUGAGGCCGAGAAGUCAAGCACCAUGGUGACAGGUACGCUGCCCAUUUUGGGGUACCAUGCUUUAGUUUUGUUUGACUGUGGCUCUUCGCAUCCGUUUAUAUCUGCGGUAUUUAUGAGGCAUGUCAUGUUAGUCUCAAAACCUUUGCCUUUUGCAUUGUCCAUUUCCACUCCAUCAGGAGAGAUCAUGUUAGCUACAGAAAAGAUAAAAGCAUGUCAGGUAGAAGUAGCCAAUCAUGCAUUAGAUGUAACCUUGAUAAUUUUAGAUAUGCACGAUUUUGAUGUGAUAUUGGGCAUGGAUUGGUUAGUUGCUAAUCAUGCAGCAUAGAUUGCUCUCGUAAGGAGGUCAUCUUUAACCCUCUUACAGGAGUUAGUUUUAAGUUUAAAGGGGUUGGGACCGUAGUCCUACCUAAAGUGAUUUCAGCACUGAAGGCCAGUAGACUAUUCGACCAAGGAGCCUGGGGAUUUAUGGCCAGUGUAGUGGACACUAGAGAGACUAAAGUCACCUUGACUUCGGAGCUAGUAGUGAGGGAUUUUCCAGACGUUUUUCCAGAGGAUCUUCCCGGACUGCCCUCGCAGCGGGAGAUAGAUUUUGCUAUUGAGUUGGAGCCAGACACAACCCCUAUUUCGAAGGCUCCAUACAGGAUGAACCCGGCAGAGUUGAAGGAACUAAAUGUCCAAUUGCAAGAGUUGUUGGACAAGGGUUUCAUACGCCCUAGCGUGUAACCAUGGGGUGCACCUAUUUUGUUUGUGAAAAAAAAGGAUGGAUCGUUACGUCUGUGCAUUGAUUACAGAGAGCUGAACAAGGUGACCGUCAAGAAAAAGUAUCCCCUUCCCCGAAUUGAUGAUUUGUUUGACCAGUUGCAGGGAGCUACGGUAUUCUCCAAGAUUGAUCUCUAGUCAGGAUACCACCAGCUGAGAAUAAAGGACAAUAACAUACUGAUGUCGUUCGGUCUAAUGAAUGUACCAGUAGUGUUCAUGGAUUUGAUUAAUAGGGUGUUCAAGGAAUUCUUCGACACCUUUGUGAUUGUUUUUAUUGAUGAUAUUUUGGUUUAUUCUAAGAUAGAGGUCGAGCAUGAGGAGCAUUUGAGAAAAGUUUUGGAGACAUUGAGGGCCAAUAAGCUGUAUACUAAGUUUUCUAAAUGUGAAUUGAGGCAAAUGUCCUUUUCAGGACAUGUAGUAUCGAAGGAAGAUGUCGAUAUGGAUCCUGCAAAGAUCGAGGCACUUACGAGUUGGGCUCGUCCAACCACAGUCAGUGAGGCCCGACCGCGUGCGCAGUUUCCUAGGGUUAGCAGGCUACUAUAAAAUGGUUUGUAAAGGACUUCUCUCGCAUAUCCGCCCCAUUGACUCAGUUGACCCGGAAGGGAGCCGCAUUUGUUUGGAAUGAGGCUUGUGAAAACAAUUUCCAAAACCUCAAGGCAGAGGUUGGUUUCAGCCCCAAUUCUUAUAGUACCAGAUGGAUCAGGUGGUUUUGUCAUUUACAGUGAUGCGUCCAAGAAGGGGUUGGGAUGCGUAUUGAUGCAGCAGGGCAGAGUAGUUGCUUACGCUUCACGACAGUUAAAAAAGCAUGAACAAAAAUCACUCGUGUCGGACAGAGAUCCUCAUUUCACGUUUAAUUUCUAGAAAAGUCUUUAGGCAGCUUUGGGACUCGGUUGGAUUUCAGUACAGCUUUUCACCCACAGACUGAUGGGCAGACAGAGCGUUUGAAUAAGAUAUUGGAAGACAUGUUGUGUGCUUGUGCCAUAGAGUUUUCAGGAAGCUGGGAUGCUCACUUGUAUUUAAUGGAGUUUUCUUAUAAUAGUAGCUACCAGUCCACUAUUGGGAUGUCACCGUUUGAUGCCCUAUAUGGGAAAAGUUGUAGGUCCCCUGUAUGUUGGGAUGAGGUAGGAGAGAGGAAAUUUUUAGGACCUGAAUUAGUUUAGGCCACGAAUGAGGCAAUACAGAAGAUCAGGGCUCGUAUGCAUACAGCUCAGAGCAGACAGAAGAGUUAUGCUGAUGUAAGAUGUAAGGACCUGGAAUUUGAGACUGGUGUGAAAGUGUUCUUAAAAAUGGCACCCAUGAAAGGUAUUAUGAGGUUUGGCAGGAAGGGGAAGUUGAGUCUGAGAUUCAUUGAACCUUUCGAGGUCCUGGAACGAGUUGGCCUCGUAGCUUACCGUUUGGCAUUGUUGUCUUCCAUGUUUUGAUGCUAAGGAAGUAUGUGAUAGACCCAUCCCAUAUAGUUGACUUUGAGCCCUUGUAGUUGAAUGAAAACUUGAGCUACGAAGAGAAGCCUGUAGAGAUCCUCGCCAUAGAGGUAAAGACAUUGCGCCGCUGGGAAAUUGCUUUUGUGAAAGUCCUGUGGCAGAAUCACCAGUUCAAGGAGGCUACCUGGGAACGAAAGGAUUAGAUGAAGGCCCAGUACCCGAAGCUUUUUCAAGAAUGAACUUUGGAGGAUGAAAGUUCUUUAAUGAGGGAAGGAUGUAACACCCCUAUUUUUUUUAGUAGUAUUAAUGUUAUUUUAGUAAUUUUUUUACUAAUUGAGGACAUUUUUGGAAUUUUGGAUCUUAAGUGUAAUUGCGGGAAUUUAGUUAUGGACGUUGAAAAAUAUUUAUGUUAAAAUUGAAUGGCAAGAGUUAAAUCUUUUUUAAAGAAAGGGAGUUUAAAGAAUUUAUGUGGAUUAAGAAAAGAAUAAAAUAAAAUAAAAUAUAUUUUAUUUUAUUUAUUUUCCUUUUCUUUCCUAUUUUUUCUUUUUCUUCCCCCUUCCCUCUUCUUCCUCACGCAGACUUAGCAGUCGCUCACUCUCGCCGCUGACCUUGACCGCCGCCCUCCUCAGCCCGUUGUCCAGACGCCAACGGUUCGACCUUAGCCACUUGCCGUCCAGGUUUUUGCCCUAGCCGACCACCCUUUGUUGCGUUUUGCUACUAUUGCUACCCAGUCAACGCCCCACCGUUCGUCGAGGCCCGACCGCGUGCGAACCCCUCGACGGUCGUCGCUUCCAGAUGCAUCAGCAGUCGUUCCGACAUUUUGAUACCCGUGUCAUUGUUCAAAUCUGCUCCGCGCUGUUCCGGUUUGCCCUUCUAGCCGCUGUCCACCAGUAUAGCAACUGCUAGCUGUCGGGUUCAUCCUCUUCUACCGCCAUUCCGUGGGGUUUUCGCCAGAAGCUUGGAAUAUGGGCGUGGAUUGAACUUUCAAGGUAUCGGGAACCACUACCUAGUACGAUUAGAGCUGGCUUUAGGAAUUUUGGGUUAUGAAUAGAUUGGAAUCUCCGUGCUAAGCUUGGAAUAGAUUUCUGGAUCAGCACAUCGUUUGAGGUGCGAUUCAAGAAUUUUACUAAGUUAAAGGAGGGUGUAGAUUACUUUUUGUUAGAUUUAAUUUCGAGGUAAGGGUAGGGACGUGCCGAUGAAUGACAAGCGGAAUCCGUGAUCGAGCCAUUGAGACCAUUUUUAUGCUUUCGCUCAUAAGACUUAGAUUUCCUUUUAUGUUUUGCUAAAUUUUAGUUUUGGUGUUUGAAACUUAUUAUUGAGAAUUGUUUUUCGUACUUAUUUAUUAACCUUUAUGAUUUAUGGGUACCCUAUUGUUGUUUUAACAUUUGCAUUUAAUUAAGGACUUUUGAACUCCC